rnacentral:rRNA from 1 species
UACGUAGGGUGCGAGCGUUAAUCGGAAUUACUGGGCGUAAAGCGUGCGCAGGCGGUUCGUUAAGUUCGUUGUGAAAGCCCCGGGCUCAACCUGGGAACUGCAAUGGAAACUGGCGGGCUUGAAUGCGGCAGAGGGGGGUGGAAUUCCGCGUGUAGCAGUGAAAUGCGUAGAGAUGCGGAGGAACACCGAUGGCGAAGGCAGCCCCCUGGGCUAACACUGACGCUGAGGUGCGAAAGCGUGGGGAGCAAACAGG